rnacentral:rRNA from 1 species
UACGUAGGGUGCAAGCGUUGUCCGGAAUUAUUGGGCGUAAAGAGCUCGUAGGCGGUCUGUCGCGUCUGCUGUGAAAACUCGGGGCUUAACCCCGGGCCUGCAGUGGGUACGGGCAGACUAGAGUGCGGUGGGGGAGACUGGAAUUCCUGGUGUAGCGGUGAAAUGCGCAGAUAUCAGGAGGAACACCGGUGGCGAAGGCGGGUCUCUGGGCCGUAACUGACGCUGAGGAGCGAAAGCAUGGGGAGCGAACAGG